UACGGAAGGGGGCUAGCGUUGCUCGGAAUCACUGGGCGUAAAGCGCACGUAGGCGGAUUCCUAAGUCGGUGGUGAAAUCCUGGAGCUCAACUCCAGAACUGCCUCCGAUACUGAGAGUCUCCGAGUCCGGGAGAGGUGAGUGGAACUCCGAGUGUAGAGGUGAAAUUCGUAGAUAUUCGGAAGAACACCAGUGGCGAAGGCGGCUCACUGGCCCGGUACUG
rnacentral:rRNA from 1 species